AGUGAACGCUGGCGGUAGGCCUAACACAUGCAAGUCGAACGGCAGCACAGUAAGAGCUUGCUCUUACGGGUGGCGAGUGGCGGACGGGUGAGGAAUACAUCGGAAUCUACUUUUUCGUGGGGGAUAACGUAGGGAAACUUACGCUAAUACCGCAUACGACCUACGGGUGAAAGCAGGGGAUCUUCGGACCUUGCGCGAUUGAAUGAGCCGAUGUCGGAUUAGCUAGUUGGCGGGGUAAAGGCCCACCAAGGCGACGAUCCGUAGCUGGUCUGAGAGGACGAUCCGCCCCACUGGAACUGAGAAACGGUCCCGACCCCUACGGGAGGCAGCAGUGGGGAAUAUUGGACAAUGGGCGCAAGCCUGAACCAGCCAUACCGCGUGGGUGAAGAAGGCCUUCGGGUUGUAAAGCCCUUUUGUUGGGAAAGAAAAGCAGCAGGUUAAUACCCCGCUGUUCUGACGGUACCCAAAGAAUAAGCACCGGCUAACUUCGUG
rnacentral:rRNA from 1 species